rnacentral:rRNA from 1 species
GUGCCAAGCAGCCGCGGUAAAACCAGCACCUCAAGUGGUCAGGAUGAUUAUUGGGCCUAAAGCAUCCGUAGCCGGCUCUGUAAGUUUUCGGUUAAAUCUGUACGCUCAACGUACAGGCUGCCGGGAAUACUGCAUAGCUAGGGAGUGGGAGAAGUAGACGGUACUCGGUAGGAAGUGGUAAAAUGCUUUGAUCUAUCGAUGACCACCUGUGGCGAAGGCGGUCUACUAGAACACGUCCGACGGUGAGGGAUGAAAGCUGGGGGAGCAAACCGGGUUAGAUACCCGGGUAGUCCCAGCUGUAAACUAUGCAAACUCAGUGAUGCAUUGGCUUGUGGCCAAUGCAGUGCUGCAGGGAAGCCGUUAAGUUUGCCGCCUGGGAAGUACGUACGCAAGUAUGAAACUUAAAGGAAUUGGCGGGGGAGCACCACAAGGGGUGAAGCCUGCGGUUCAAUUGGAGUCAACGCCAGAAAUCUUACCCGGAGAGACAGCAGAAUGAAGGUCAAGCUGAAGACUUUACCAGACAAGCUGAGAGGUGGUGCAUGGCCGUCGCCAGCUCGUGCCGUGAGAUGUCCUGUUAAGUCAGGUAACGAGCGAGAUCCCUGCCUCUAGUUGCCACCAUUACUCUCAGGAGUAGUGGGGCGAAUUAGCGGGACCGCCGCAGUUAAUGCGGAGGAAGGAAGGGGCCACGGCAGGUCUGUGAUGCCCAA